rnacentral:rRNA from 1 species
AACGAACGCUGGCGGCAUGCCUAACACAUGCAAGUCGAACGAAGCCUUCGGGCUUAGUGGCGCACGGGUGCGUAACGCGUGGGAAUCUGCCCUUUGGUUCGGAAUAACAGUUGGAAACGACUGCUAAUACCGGAUGAUGACGAAAGUCCAAAGAUUUAUCGCCAGAGGAUGAGCCCGCGUAGGAUUAGCUAGUUGGUGUGGUAAAGGCGCACCAAGGCGACGCUCCUUAGCUGUUCUGAGAGGAUGAUCAGCCACACUGGGACUGUGACACGGCCCAUACGCCUACGGGAGGCAGCAGUGGGGAAUAUUGGACAAUGGGCGAAAGCCUGAUCCAGCAAUGCCGCGUGAGUGAUGAAGGCCCUAGGGUUGUAAAGCUCUUUUACCCGGGAUGAUAAUGACAGUACCGGGAGAAUAAGCCCCGGCUAACUCCGUGCCAGCCGCCGCGGUAA